GCAGGCCAGGCCAGGCAUCCCCAAUCACCAUUGUAUUUGUGGACUGGCUGCAACCGGGCGUGAACAUCUGAAGCUCGUUAGUUAGCUGCCUGGCUUGGUGAGAAUUACCCCAGACAGAUCUGCAGAGGACGCAGCAAAACGAAGACCAGGACAGAAGGCAUGCAUGCAGCCAAAGCGGACUUCCCAGAACCUCGGCUUUGCUCUGGACACCUCAGUCCUUGGCUGCUGUGUUCUUUCAAGAGAUGGGCCAGCGUCUCUAAUGGACAGGCUGCAGCUGUUCCCUGAGGAAUAGUCCUUGACAGCAGAUCCUGGAAGACAGCCUUACACCGGAUUCUGGAAAGGUCUGGCGUCUCUUCCGGAACAACAGAGCUUCCGCCCGA